rnacentral:lncRNA from 1 species
UUUGAACAACUGCACCAGAAAAUGGCCAACCUUCUUAGGGCAACCUCGGAGUUAGAGAAAGAUUACACCAAGCUCAAAAACAAAAAAGACCAACAUCUCCGAGGCCGACAAGCAGAGGAUUAUCAAUGAUUAUAAAGAAUCUUCGGAGCUGAUCGAAAUCAUUAUAAAUCAAUUCUCCCAAGGUUACCAAGGCCAUAAAGAUAAAAUAAAGGCAAAAAUGCAAACGAUUGACUUAUAUACCAUAAUUCUCGAUUCCUCAGAUGACGGGGGGAAGCCGAAGACCUUGCCAUCUGACAUUUAUACUUGAUUUUAUUUCUUU